GAGCCGGUGGGCGGUAGGCGGUGCUAGGGGUAGCUGGGUGCUGUCCAAAGGCGACAGGGCGUCGUUAGGGGAGCGAGUCGUGACCGGUUGGGCCACACUCAACGUGGGACGAAGCUUCGCCUACUGUUUGACUACGUGCGUGCCGCCUCCCCUCGAUGUCGGCCCUCGAAAAGAGCAUGCACCUCGGCCGCCUUCCCUCUCGCCCACCUCUACCCGGCAGCGGGGGCAGUCAGAGCGGAGCCAAGAUGCGAAUGGGCCCUGGAAGAAAGCGGGACUUUUCCCCUGUUCCUUGGAGUCAGUAUUUUGAGUCCAUGGAAGAUGUAGAAGUAGAGAAUGAAACUGGCAAGGAUACUUUUCGAGUCUACAAGAGUGGUUCAGAGGGUCCAGUCCUGCUCCUUCUGCAUGGAGGAGGUCAUUCUGCCCUUUCUUGGGCUGUGUUCACGGAUAAAUUGUGUGACUUGUCCAUAAGUACCAGGCUCUGUCAUGUCUCUGGACCAGUACUGUCCAAUAGAAAUAGAGUGCAAACCACAUAUGUCAUUUUAAAUUUCUUAGUAGACACUUUAAAUAGAUAAAAAGAAACAAAUUAA
rnacentral:sRNA from 1 species